GCGGGCGUGGCGGAAUUGGCAGACGCGCAUGGUUCAGGUCCAUGUGGGGUAAAACCCGUGAAGGUUCGACUCCUUUCGCCCGCA
rnacentral:tRNA from 1 species